GGUCGGUUAGCUCAGUUGGUUAGAGCGUGGUGCUAAUAUGAGGUGGGCUACUAAGCCACUCGGUUACGCCAAGGUCGCGAGUUCGAAACUCGUACUGACCA